rnacentral:tRNA from 1 species
UUCCUGGUGGCCUAGUGGUUAAGGUCACAGCAUUGUCACUGCUGUGGCGCAGGUUGGAUCCCUGGUCUAGGAA